GACGGAGGGUGCUAGCGUUGUUCGGAAUGACUGGGCGUAAAGGGCGCGUAGGCGGCUCGUGAAGUCGGGUGUGAAAGCCCGGAGCUCAACUCCGGAACUGCCAUUGAAACUGUUAGACUUGAGGAUGAGAGAGGUGAGUGGAAUUCCCAGUGUAGAGGUGAAAUUCGUAGAUAUUGGGAAGAACACCGGUGGCGAAGGCGGCUCACUGGCUCAUAUCUGACGCUCAGGCGCGACAGCGUGGGGAUCAAACAGG
rnacentral:rRNA from 1 species